UAGGGAAUCUUCCACAAUGGGCGAAAGCCUGAUGGAGCAACGCCGCGUGUGUGAUGAAGGGUUUCGGCUCGUAAAACACUGUUGUAAGAGAAGAAUGACAUUGAGAGUAACUGUUCAAUGUGUGACGGUGUCUUACCAGAAAGGAACGGCUAAAUACGUGCCAG
rnacentral:rRNA from 1 species